GAUUUCUGGCUCGGUGCGCCUGGCCCGCCACGGUUACGUGUGUGAGUGCUGGGUCGCGCCUGCCAUCCUUCUAGAGAACGGUUCUACCCUUCAUUGGGCCGGGGCCGCAAUCUAGAUCUUUUACUUUGAAAAAAUUAGAGUGUUUAAAGCAGGCUUUUGCUAUGAAUACAUUAGCAUGGAAUAAUAAUUUAGGACUUCGGUUCUAUUUUGUUGGUUUCUAGGACUGAAGUAAUGAUUGAUAGGGAUAGUUGGGGGUGCUAGUAUUCAGUGGCCAGAGGUGAAAUUCUCGGAUUCACUGAAGACUAACUUCUGCGAAAGCAUU
rnacentral:rRNA from 1 species